rnacentral:rRNA from 2 species
AUGCAGUCGAGCGGACAGAAGGGAGCUUGCUCCCGGAUGUUAGCGGCGGACGGGUGAGUAACACGUGGGUAACCUGCCUGUAAGACUGGGAUAACUCCGGGAAACCGGAGCUAAUACCGGAUAGUUCCUUGAACCGCAUGGUUCAAGGAUGAAAGACGGUUUCGGCUGUCACUUACAGAUGGACCCGCGGCGCAUUAGCUAGUUGGUGAGGUAACGGCUCACCAAGGCGACGAUGCGUAGCCGACCUGAGAGGGUGAUCGGCCACACUGGGACUGAGACACGGCCCAGACUCCUACGGGAGGCAGCAGUAGGGAAUCUUCCGCAAUGGACGAAAGUCUGACGGAGCAACGCCGCGUGAGUGAUGAAGGUUUUCGGAUCGUAAAGCUCUGUUGUUAGGGAAGAACAAGUGCAAGAGUAACUGCUUGCACCUUGACGGUACCUAACCAGAAAGCCACGGCUAACUACGUGCCAGCAGCCGCGGUAAUACGUAGGUGGCAAGCGUUGUCCGGAAUUAUUGGGCGUAAAGGGCUCGCAGGCGGUUUCUUAAGUCUGAUGUGAAAGCCCCCGGCUCAACCGGGGAGGGUCAUUGGAAACUGGGAAACUUGAGUGCAGAAGAGGAGAGUGGAAUUCCACGUGUAGCGGUGAAAUGCGUAGAGAUGUGGAGGAACACCAGUGGCGAAGGCGACUCUCUGGUCUGUAACUGACGCUGAGGAGCGAAAGCGUGGGGAGCGA